CACAAAAUCCAUAGUAACACUGGAGUGGCAAUUGCAGUGCAUGCGUACAAGGUUAAGGUUAAAUUGCUUCCUACACACACGCCGUACUCUGGCUAUAAGGGCUAUAAGGUGUCGUUUCAAGGUGAUGUUAGAAGCUGAGUAGAGCCAACGGUGUCUAAUAAUUGUACUUCACUGUUGGUGUCAGAUCGAGAGGGGAUCGACCAUCUGUACCGGCAUUGCUUGCUUCCAUCACAGUUUACUACGAUGACUUCAGCGUAUUUGCGAAUUGUUGCUGACGUAUCGUUGCGGUUCUUGCCUUGUCAUCAUCGCCCAACUAACAAACAUCAUAAAAAAGGCGUCUCUCCCCCAUACACGAGCAUCUUGCCAAACCAAUCGUAACAAUUAUGUAAGUUUCAAACAACAAAACCCAAACACACACACACACACAAUGCCGGUUUUUACUCGGCCACACAAUAGGAUACCACACCAUCAACAUCCCAAUGGUUGCGGAGAUCUUUCGCUCGCUGCCCUCGCUAGUUACAGCCACCCAAAGACGACGCCACCAAAACUUACGUCAAAAUCUAACAUCGUUUCCUCCUGUGUCUGUGCUGCUUUCCAACGCAAAACGGAGCUCGAUCGUGCUCUGUCCGACCGGGACACUGGACCGCCGAAACUGAUCGAUUGAACUCUCCCUAAGUGCGGGUUUCGUCUCAGCCACACACACACACACA